CACGUAGUUAGCCGUGGCUUUCUGAUUAGGUACCGUCAAGACGUGCAUAGUUACUUACACAUUUGUUCUUCCCUAAUAACAGAGUUUUACGAUCCGAAGACCUUCAUCACUCACGCGGCGUUGCUCCGUCAGGCUUUCGCCCAUUGCGGAAGAUUCCCUACUGCUGCCUCCCGUAAGAGUCUGGACCGUGUCUCAGUUCCAGUGUGGCCGAUCACCCUCUCAGGUCGGCUACGCAUCGUUGCCUUGGUAAGCCGUUACCUUACCAACUAGCUAAUGCGGCGCGGAUCCAUCUAUAAGUGACAGCAAGACCGUCUUUCACUGUUGAACCAUGCGGUUCAACAUGUUAUCCGGUAUUAGCUCCGGUUUCCCGAAGUUAUCCCAGUCUUAUAGGUAGGUUAUCCACGUGUUACUCACCCGUCCGCCGCUAACGUCAGAGGAGCAAGCUCCUCGUCUGUUCGCUCGACUUGCAUGUAUUAGGCACGCCGCCAGCGUUCAU
rnacentral:rRNA from 1 species